CUAUCUUUGCCCCGAAUUGGUUUCGGAUGAACAUUUCUGUCAUUUGGAUUAAAAGGGAAUCGGGUGUAAAUCCCGGACAGUCCCGCUGCUGUGAAGCUCCAUAACUUUCUUGAUAAAUACUUUAGCCACUGGCUGUGAAUUGGAGGCCGGGAAGGAAUCAGAAAGGGAGUCAGUCAGAAGACCUGCCAUUCGUUAAAGUCUGUU
rnacentral:ncRNA from 2 species